rnacentral:rRNA from 1 species
CCUAACACAUGCAAGUCGAACGGAGUAACGAGAGUUACUUUGGUUACUUAGUGGCGGACGGGUGAGUAAUGCGUGAGCAACCUGCCUUUCAGAGGGGGACAACAGUUGGAAACGACUGCUAAUACCGCAUAACAUACACGGAUGGCAUCAUCUGUGUAUCAAAAGGAGCAAUCCGCUGAAAGAUGGGCUCACGUCUGAUUAGCUGGUUGGCGGGGUAACGGCCCACCCAAGGCGACGAUCAGUAGCCGGACUGAGAGGUUGAACGGCCACAUUGGGACUGAGAUACGGCCCAGACUCCUACGGGAGGUAGCAGUGGGGAAUAUUGGGCAAUGGGCGAAAGCCUCGACCCAGCAACGCCGCGUGAAGGAAGAAGGUCUUCGGAUUGUAAACUUCUUUUAUGAGGGACGAAGGACGUGACGGUACCUCAUGAAUAAGCCACGGCUAACUACGUGCCAGCAGCGGC